rnacentral:siRNA from 1 species
ACCACCGAUGGAGAUGCCUUCAGA